UUAGCGGCGGACGGGUGAGUAACACGUGAGUAACCUGCCUUAGACAUUGGGAUAGCCUCGGGAAACCGGGAUUAAUACCAAAUAAAAUCAUAAUGACACAUGUCAUAACGAUCAAAACUCCGGUGGUCUAAGAUGGACUCGCGUCCCAUUAGCUAGUUGGUAGAGUAAAAGCCUACCAAGGCGACGAUGGGUAGCCGGCCUGAGAGGGUGAACGGCCACAUUGGAACUUAGAAACGGUCCAA
rnacentral:rRNA from 1 species